rnacentral:rRNA from 2 species
CAACGGAUCUCUUGGCUCUCGCAUCGAUGAAGAACGCAGCGAAAUGCGAUAAGUAAUGUGAAUUGCAGAAUUCAGUGAAUCAUCGAAUCUUUGAACGCACCUUGCGCUCCUUGGUAUUCCGAGGAGCAUGCCUGUUUGAGUGUC